AUGCACGCAGACGCGGCCAAGGCAUGGGCGGCUGCGGUCAACACGGCGGUCUCCUCCCUCCCUCCCUCCUGCACGCACGCACGCAUGCCGCCGAUGCGGCUGCAGUGGCAGGCAUCAGGUCCUCGCUUCAAGAAGAGAAAAGGACACACGUCGGGCGCAAACAGCAUCCCAUUUUUUGGUCGAUGGCUGACUGAAUUUCAGAUGUUUUGGCUAUGGAAGAUAGAAAAUGGGAUCAGCACCAGCAGUGGUCGUGCCGGAGUGCGCAAUCAACCGGCACCGCCUUCCGGGGCCGCCGCCCCGACAACCACCGCUCCGCUCGAGCAGCAACACCGCACAACCCAGCUGCCCGCAGCCCACGCUGCCCGGGGCAACCGCUCGCAGACCACGAACGUCGCACCACAUCCGGGGCCGCCGCCCCGACGUAAAGUCAGACCGCCCCCUCUAGGGCGCAUCGACCGAGUCAACACCCCUACCGCCCAAGCGGGACAAGGAUGCCACCCAACCAAUGUCGAGAUAGAGCCCCACCUCAUAGAGCUGCAGCUCACAUUGUUCCCGAGAUCGCCAUCUCGACGCACAAUCAGAAACCACCCGGAGCCGCCGCCCCGACGUCCACUGUCCCUGACGACGAAUAGAUUCGUGCAAACUGCAGCACAUCCCCCGCCCAUCCAGAUCGAAGACGAGGUGAGCCGCCCCCACGGCUAUGCUCCCCACCAUCGCGUCGCCCGGCACACGGCCCACGCUAUGCCGCUGCGCGAGACUGCGCCAGAGAGCCACCGCACCGCUGCUUCCACCGCCAGCACCACAUCCUGCCGAGGUCGCCCCGCCCUGCAUCGGGGCCACCGCGCGAGGCGACGAGAACGCCCCGCUUUGCUUGGCCGCACCCUGUGGCGGCGGCGAGGGAUGAGGAGCGGGGUGGAGGAGGCCUCUGGCGGCGGCGACUUGGUCGCCCUCCCUGUCGCACGCGGGGCGACGCGGGAGGGAUUGAUGUGGAAGAAGUUCAUAGGCCGUGGGUUUUUUCGCCUCAUCUUCCACCACCGUCCCCCUGUCCUCGGGCAACAGAACUACUACUCGAGCGCUGGCUACUCGGAUUUGAGCACGUCGAGGGACACGAAACCGCCGAGGAUGCCGCAACAGGCGUCGUGGCCACAGGCGCACGCUGCUGUGUACGUUGAGGACGAGGAGCACUCGGACUCCGGCGGCCUGACAGCACCAACUCGCAGCACUCCACCGUCGUAGCGACUCCGACGACUUGGCAGCACCGGCUCGCAGAACGACGGAGCCAUCGCAGCAUCGCCGGAGCAACCCGAGGCACCGUCACAGUAUCCUCGUUGCAGCAUUGCCGGAGCAGCCCGAGCCGCCGUCGCAGCAUGAUAGCGCCGUCGUAGCACCACUUGUUGUGAGUAUCGUUGGCCGGCGCCACUCACAGUAGCGGCUUCGCAACUGAGAUGCCGUCACCGCAGCAUGGCUGGAGCAGCCGGACCACCGUCGCAGCGGGUCGCCGCGGCAGGGAGCCAUCGCAGCAGGUCGCCGCAGCAUGGCUGUAGCAGACAGACCACCGUCACAGCAUGCUGCAUAGCACCUCUCCGACGAGAUCUUGCUGGAUAGAAGAGAGGAGAGAUAGAAGAAAGGGAGGAGGAUGAAGCAACAACGUGCUGAUUAUUUGUGGGGAAAACGUGUGGUUGGAGAGAACCAGCGAAGGGAUGAGGGGAGAGAGGAAGAAGCGGUGGGUGGGGCCUUUGGGACGUGUGUCAAGCUGAGGACACGGUUGACGCGAGGAUGUCUACAGCUGGAUGAAUAUAAGCAAUUCCCUAACUAUUUCACAUCUAAAUGUGAAAGAGCAAACCCGCAAUUAUAUAAAUAUUAGAUUUUAAUUAGGUUAAUAUGCGAUUAGGAUAAUACAUGAUUAGGC
rnacentral:rRNA from 1 species